CCUACGGGAGACAGCAGUGGGGAAUAUUGCGCAAUGGGCGAAAGCCUGACGCAGCGACGCCGCGUGAGGGAUGAAGGUCUUCGGAUCGUAAACCUCUGUCAGCAGGGAAGAACGGUCACUGUGCUAAUCAGCAGUGACUUGACGGUACCUGACUAAGAAGCCCCGGCGAACCACGUGCCAGCAGCCGCGGUAAUACGUGGGGGGCGAGCGUUAUCCGGAGUCACGGGGGGAAAGGGAGCGUAGACGGGCAAGCAAGCCAGGGGUGAAAGCCCGGGGCCCAACCCCCGGACUGCCCUUGGAACUGCAUGGCUGGAGUGUGGGAGGGGUAGGCGGAAUUCUUGGUGUAGGGGUGAAAUGCGUAGAUAUCAGGAGGAACACUGGCGGCGAAGGCGGCCUGCUGGACCGCGACUGACGUUGAGGCUCGAAAGCGUGGGGAGCGAACAGGAUUAGAUACCCUGGUAGUC
rnacentral:rRNA from 1 species